CGGAGGGUGCAAGCGUUAUCCGGAUUUACUGGGUUUAAAGGGUGCGUAGGUGGGCAGUUAAGUCAGUGGUGAAAUCUCCGAGCUUAACUCGGAAACUGCCAUUGAUACUAUCUGUCUUGAAUAUCCUGGAGGUGAGCGGAAUAUGUCAUGUAGCGGUGAAAUGCUUAGAUAUGACAUAGAACACCAAUUGCGAAGGCAGCUCAUUACGGGAUUAUUGACACUGAGGCACGAAAGCGUGGGGAUCAAACAGGAUUAGAUACCCUGGUAGUCCACGCCCUAAACGAUGGAUACUCGACAUACGCGAUAUACUGUGUGUGUCUGAGCGAAAGCAUUAAGUAUCCCACCUGGGAAGUACGAUCGCAAGAUUG
rnacentral:rRNA from 1 species